rnacentral:lncRNA from 1 species
AACCAUCCCCCUAGUUGAAGAAAAAGCUUUGGAUUUGAGGACAAAUCCUUUUCAAGAGGGAGGGGAUGAUGGAGGAGGGCCCAAGCUCACCACACGAUGAAAGCCAAGCCUCCAAGACUAGACGGUCUAGCCUAUGAUGAGGAGCGUCUAGACUCAAAAAGGAGCGUCUAGCCCAUGAAGAGGAGCGUCUAAGCCAUGAUGAGGAGCGGCUACAUAAGGAGCGUCUAGGCCAUGAUGAGGAUUCCUUCUAGACCAUCUAGCUUCACAUACACAUGGGUCAAAGCUACGGUUUUGGGAAGAGAAGACCUUUGUAAUUGUUACAUAAAGGCCCAUUAGGGGUGCUUAGUAAUUAGAGUAGUGUAGAAAGCAUAUUUGUGUGAACAUUCUAGAAAGACCAUGGAGGGGGGGGGGGG